GACGUAGGGCGCGAGCGUUGUCCGGAUUUAUUGGGCGUAAAGAGCUCAUAGGCGGCUUGUUGCGUCGUCCGUGAAAACCUGGGGCUCAACUCCAGGCUUGCGGUCGAUACGGGCAGGCUAGAGUUCGGUAGGGGAGACUGGAAUUCCUGGUGUAGCGGUGAAAUGCGCAGAUAUCAGGAGGAACACCGGUGGCGAAGGCGGGUCUCUGGGCCGAUACUGACGCUGAGGAGCGAAAGCGUGGGGAGCGAACAGG
rnacentral:rRNA from 1 species